rnacentral:rRNA from 1 species
AACGAACGCUGGCGGCAUGCCUAACACAUGCAAGUCGAACGAGACCUUCGGGUCUAGUGGCGCACGGGUGCGUAACACGUGGGAAUUUGCCUCGGGGUAUGGAAUAACUCAGGGAAACUUGAGCUAAUACCAUAUAAUGUCUUCGGACCAAAGAUUUAUCGCCCUGAGAUAAGCCCGCGUAGGAUUAGCUAGUUGGUGAGGUAAAGGCUCACCAAGGCGACGAUCCUUAGCUGGUCUGAGAGGAUGAUCAGCCACACUGGGACUGAGACACGGCCCAGACUCCUACGGGAGGCAGCAGUGGGGGAAUAUUGGACAAUGGGCGAAAGCCUGAUCCAGCAAUGCCGCGUGAGUGAUGAAGGCCU